AAAAACAUCGCCUCUUGUAAACCCCACAUAAGAGGUCCUGCCUGCCCAGUGACCCCUGUUCAACGGCCGCGGUAUUUUAACCGCGCAAAGGUAGCGCAAUCACUUGUCCCUUAAAUGAGAACCAGUAUGAAUGGCUAGACGAGGGCUUAACUGUCUCCUUUUCCCAACCAAUGAAAUUGAUCUUCCCGUGCAGAAGCGGGAAUACUAACAUAAGACGAGAAGACCCUGCGGAGCUUUAGACGCCAGAACAGAUCACGUCAAAUACCUCCCUCAAAUAGGUAACAACAAAUGAACCCUGUUCCACGUCUUAGGUUGGGGCGACCACGGUGAACAGAAAAACCCCCGCGUGGACUGAGAGCACAUAUUCACACUCAUUAAUACUGCUUCUCACAACCAUGAGCUACAACUCUAAAUAACAGAACUUCUGACCAAAAAAAUGAUCCGGCAAUGCCGAUUAACGGACCAAGUUACCCCAGGGAUAACAGCGCAAUCCUCUUUAAGAGCCCAUAUCGACAAGAGGGUUUACGACCUCGAUGUUGGAUCAAGACAUCCUAAUGGUGCAACCGCUAUUAAGGGUUCGUUUGUUCAACGAUUAAAGUCUUACGUGAUCUGAGUUCAGACCGGA
rnacentral:rRNA from 1 species